CUAAUGAUAAGCAGAUUUCUUUUCUUUGUGUCCCUAGUUGUUGUCUUUAAGCAUAAUCUUAUUUGCUGUAGGUUAGAGCUGCACAACCCUAUACUUAUUGUUGCAUUUUCCAUUGCAUUACAGCACAGCAAUGCUUUUCAGUCUAAGAUCUGAAGAGAAGGCUUUCCUUCAUAAUCUCACACCAACAGAUGUAUGUGAAGAUGUUAAAAAGCAGUAGAUGUUCAAAUCACUGAUAUCAAAAUAUUUGAAUAUGUGGACUUCUGUCCUACUACUCUGCUUAUAUCAAAAUUAAAUUCUUUAAUGAUAUGGAAGACGUGUCUUUUGUCUGACUCCUGGCUGAAUGAAGAAGCUUGAAGGAAACAGGGGAGCAACAACAAGGGGAACUACUCAGUUUAUUCCAGUUCAGCACUGAAACGUGUGUUCUAAACUAGGAUCUUGUGGUCCUGAAACACAGCAGCUGCUCUCUUCUGUUUUUGAGAAUCCAGUACAGUCUGUUGAUACUAGUGCUUGAAUGGAGACUUGUCAACAAGACACGUGGCUCAAGUGACAUAAAUGAUCAUUGAGGGACAUCAAAAUGCAGAGAAGUAUGUUUUAGACUCAUGCAAUUGCUUGUAUCUUUUACACUUUGCUCUUAAGUGAUCAAUUUAGACAAUCCUCAGUACGACUGCUGUGAUCAUAUAGCCAACCUGAGAUGAGAUAAAACAAGCGUCAGUGAUUUUGUCAUGAUUACACGAUCUUUUAAGCUGUAGUCAUAUCUACCGAAUUGCUGUGUGAUAGAAAAACCUGUUCUCCUGGAUCCAAGACUUUCCUUCUAAAGAUCACUCACUUUUACUGGAAGAUUUUCAUGCAUCUCUGACUGAAUGCAUCUUUUUUGAAGUGGUUUCUUCUCUAUCAUGGAUUUUUUUCUGUAGCAUUGUUAUUAUGAUCUUCCACAGAGAUAACAUUUUUAAUUGCCUGUUCUGUUUUAGCUACAUAGCCUGUUCCUCAAUUCUAUUACAGAAUGGUCUGCAGAGUCACCAGGGUAUAAGAAUCUGAUUAGAAAACUUGGUGUGCUGUCUUUUUAGAAAGUAUCUUUGUGUUUUUCACAGCAGAGGAGAAUGAACUAUAUAGUGAAGUUGUAAUACACAUAACUAAUUUGAAAUUUCAAUGACUGCUUACUUAUUCAAACAGUUAUCCCUUGAGAGAAGAAUUGAGCAAACUGUCCUUACAUUCCUCCAAUAUCUCUUGCCAAGACAUUUUACAAGCAGAUGCAACCCAAGGGUUGUAGAACUAAAAGCUAUUUAAACCCAAGUAAAAAAGUUUUCAGCAGGACUGGCAACUCUGAAGGAUGGGGAGAAAGAUGAGAUUUUCUGAAACUGCAAUGUAAGUUACACAGAACAGGCAAGGAAGCUGGGGAAUACAAUAAGGUUUCCACAUCUUUCUUAUAACUCCUUACAGCAUUUUUUUUAACCAUAAAAGAUAAGUACUUUGUUCUUUAUAUCAUUGAGGAGACUGCAAUAGAGAAACCACAAUAGCUUGUAGGCCUUUCAAGGGCAGUAAUUAUCUGUCACCUUGCUCUUGGUAAUGUUCUUUUGAGGAUAUUCUUGCAGGGAAACCAUUAAAUUCUGGAGUUAGACAACCAAGACUUCUUCAGUAGACUUAAAGAGAUAGCAUGAGGAAAGCAUUUCUCAUUGUCUUUUACACAAGUGAAGAUUCUGAUCUGCCCAGGGUGCAUAAUGGACUCUGAUAUUUACUAGUAUUUUUUAUUUUACAAGAAAGUGAGGAGUGUUCAGAAAAUCCAGGCUAUUUAAAUUACUGAUGGAGAAUUAAGGUGAGGCACUUCCACUGAUUACUGCAAGAUAGUUGCCCUCUUGACCUAAUUUAAUACAACAGACCUACUGAGAUGUGCAACAGGGUAUCUGGGAGAACAAUAUUCAGCAAACUGGGACAGAACUGUGUCUAAGAACCUCUUCUUCUCAGUGUUUAAAUCUGUCAGAUGAUGAGCAAGUUAUCAAAAUUUGUAUUCCCCCAGAGAAGAUCCUUCCACCCUCUUCAUUCCUCCUAGUUACACACCAUCUACCAUUUUUGCUCCCCUCUUCGUUAGAGCAGUAUUUUGAAUCAUCUUCUUCUUCCACAGUUCCACUUGUUCCUUCCCAUACUUUCCAUAUUCCUCAGCACUGAAAUACCUUCUGUCUGUGAAGCUAGGAAUCUUCCUAGCUUAAAUCUAGCUUUAAAUCUUCCUUAUGAUCUUUUUCUUUCCAAAGACUUGAUAUUGCUUAUGCUAAGCUCACGUAUUUUUGUUGACUGACAAAUAUAAGGAGACACAAAUUGGAGCAACUCAAUCCUUCCCUCUGAGAAAUAAUGUCCAUUGUCAUAGAUGGUGACUUCCUAUGCUAAUUUCUGAGACAAAAAGUAAGAUUUACAGUUCUGUAUAUUAAUCUCAUAUCUUAAAAUAUCUUAAGAUCAAAUUUUAAGAAAAUUAUCACUGACUUGCCAAGAAAACCCCAAAUCUACUGGAAUACUGUACUGUUGGAAAAAGUAGGAGAAAAAUGGCCUUUGCAUUACAAUAGUUUUAACUGAUGGCAUAUUAACCUUUGUUACUGUAUGUGUAAGCUUUUGGCUGAGUGAAUCACUGACUGAAUAAUAACGUGUUUAAUAAUCUUUUGUCAAGUAUAGUAUCUCAUCUGGAUGGUUAUCAUAAUAAAGACAGUAAUUGUUUUUUCAAAGUAGCCAUUAGAGAAUUCUGUAACUGCUACCAUUCUAAUUGGAGCAUUCAAGAUUAAUUUCAGGAAUAGCAUUCCCUAAGAGUUCAGUCACAGGGGAGACUCAUUUAGAAAGAAGUAAAUUGUUGUCCAUAUUUAUAAAGGCUGGUCCCCAUUAGAUGAGAUACUGGGUACACUUAAUAAAGUUAACUGCUAUGCUGAAUUGAGACAAAUAAACUAAUGAACUCACUUUUCCAAGGUUAUUGAUCCACCUGGGAACUGAAGAAUGAUUUCCUUAGCGUUCCGUAAUGUCCAGUUCACUAAAAUCUGCUGUGUUUCAGAUAUGUAUCAUUAGAGGAAAAUAAUUCCUUGUAUUCUGAGAGUGUAGUUAUUGAUGGUAUACUUCUGGGAAAGAUCCAGGUGUGAGAGUAGGUGACAGGCAACUUUUCCAGACGUGCUUGGUAUAGGCAGAUCAAAAACCUGCUUAAUACAUUAAGACCGAAUUGCACAGGCAGUUUCCUCAUUUUUCUCAUACAGCUCAAGUUCCAGUGCAGGCAAAAAGAAAUCUGCCUCCUUUAGAAAACAAAGCAAGCCCUGGAUUCAUCAGCUGUGGACAACUGUGAGAUUACAGGGAAAGAAACAAAUGGCAUCAUUCAUUCAUUGUGAAUGCUUGGGACAGAAUAGCAGAAAUGGCAGGACAUGACUGUUGCAAACUGCAGUAAUUUCUGUGCUAACUUUUAAAAUCUACAUUUACCAGAACUAUAAAAUCACUAAGAGACACCAGAUGGUGCUAUUGUAAAUGGUCUUACUACUUUUGAUGGCCUGCUGAUAUUGCAGUUUACUUCUGGAGAAAUGCUUAUGGUCAGCUGUGAUGCUUCAGUUUUGAAAGAACUGUAUACUGAAUAUACUCCCAAUGGAAGUCUGCUUUGGACUAAUAGAAUAGAACUAAUCAAUUUUUGAGUGGAACAGUGGUUUCUGAGCCCAAAAGAAAUUCCCGACUUCAAAUUCCAAUGAGUAUAAGGGAAGGUGAGAUCCAUUCCUGGAUGGAUCUCAAGCUUACUUGAAAGCUAAAUUUCUGUUCAGCCAGAAACCUACCACCUGGUAUAGUACGAUUUGGGAUAGUCUAACAUGUCCAGAAACAGAAGUUCCAAAAACUGUAAAAUCCGUUGCUGUCUGUGUAGAUCAAUCUGAAAGUAAUGCCUCAUUUACUUCCAUGGAAACCACAACAAAUGCCAAGAGCACAAUAACACUAAUUAAUAGAGCAAAUUCUCAGCUAAAAAAUACUAUUUUUUGGCAUAGUCACCACCAUUAGCUGUGCAUUUUGCCAGCACUGAUCAAGAGCCUGCAUACUGCGCUCAUUAAGAAAAAACCAACUGCAUGACCCUCUUAAAUAUGGCUUUACAUCAUGGUCACCACUGCUGAAAUACUGAACUCACUGUGCUCACAUCCACUGUUUGGUUUUCAUGAACAUUCUGUGUCAGUGGAUGUCAAUGGGUGCCAUUUUCUCUGCACUGAAGAAUUCAGUUCCACACAUUUGCUUCAUACAUGCUUCUGUUGUCGGACACCACUGUGUCAGACUGCCACUCUGCUGCCAUCUGUUGCACAGAAACCAAGUGUAAUGGGAUAUUGGUGGGAAGGUUCAGCCUCUACUGCCAUGCCACCAAUAUCUACCUCUGACGUUGUGGCCCAACAUAUAGGAGACACUACUUUGGGAGCAGUGCUUGUACCAGUUGAGCAAGUAGCUUGAAUUCUUCUUUUAGGACUGUGGUGAAAUUGUUUAAGCCAUCAUUUUAAAGCAAACAUGCAAAGCAGUUGAUUAACUUGUAACUGCACUUAUUAU